CACGCAGAGGGAUUAAUAAAUAACGGGCGUGUAUAAUGUAGUCUGUUUCAAAUGAAGCUGGGAGCCUCUGCAGUUGUGUAAAAUGCAAGAAAGCUGGUGAAGGGGUUCAGAGCACUACAAAACUGCUAUGGCGGACAACUCCAUGUAUUCUGUCAAAACAAGGGACAAGUCUGAGGGACGGCAUUCACGCACAGAAGCACCAUAAGGAAUCACAGACUACUCAAGAGGAGCUGAGGAGACGCGUCAGUCAUCUUAAGUGAAAUUAUGGCGACAAUGGCGUACACAGCAUUGCACACACUUCUCUGGCUUCUAACUGCAUUCACUCUUACAACACAAGAUUUGGUGAAACUAAGCGUGACUCCUGUGAUAACUGCAGAGUGUAACCAACAGGUUACCCUACACUGCAAUGUGUCCUCGUCUCAAAACGAUCUAUCAAUCAAACACAUGAAGUGGUCCCAAAAUAAAAUGUCUUUGUGUUCUGUGGACGAUAAAGGAAUAAUCUCAACCCACACACACAAUCUAAGUGACUUCCAUUGUGAGUAUAGACAUGGACAACUGUCCCUCAUCUUCAAGAGAGUGCAGCCACUGGAUAGCUCAAAGCCCUACAUGUGCAAACUACAGUCCACCGGGGGAGCUUCACAUCACUAUACAAAUGUGACAUUACAAGAGUGCUAUGGGAAAGUUGAGGGCUUCUUCACUGAUGACGGCCCCGUCUGUACCUUCAGAAAUGUUCACCCAGACGGUAAUGUGCUCUGGUCUCACGACUCCCACAAUCUCUCACAUGUGAAGCACUACACUACUAAACAAGUGGAAGAAGGGGGCUGGCUGACUAUCCGUGGUUACCUGGAGCAGAAAAGUUCAAAUGUGCCCUACAACUGUUCCUUGAAGAGCACCGAAUCUGGUAGAUACAUUGCGAGCACUUUGGUUCAGAAACGAGAAUCCAGAGCCAGAGCACCAGGAUACGUACGGCAGGGCAAGAAUGGAGCUGGGUCACAGGGACCUAUGUGGACAUUUUUGUUUAUUCCAAUCUUGCUGACUGUCACACUGAAAUAACCGAAAUCUGGAGGAGGCAGUGAUUAGAAACAAUGAGGUACUGAGGUUUGUGUGUUUUUAAUGUUUUAAGUGAGUCAUCAUGCACGGUCCAGAGGUUUAUUCUUCUUCUUUUUAGCUUUUGAAUGAAGUGAACAAGGAAAUGACAGCCUGCUGAGAGACCAAUAAUCAUUACACUGUAAAAAAAAAACAAAAACCUUUGUUGUUUUGUUUCGAUAGGGAGUCACGGAUGAGGAAGCAGAGGGUAUUGGUUUCAUUAUCUUCAAAUACACACACACAUAUACACGCGCACACACACACACACACACACACACACACUCAUAUAACAACAAAUGUUCGAGGAGUCCUUUCAGCUACUGGUUCAGUUUAGCUUUAAGGUGUACACCUUAUAGCCACAGAUUAUUUUCAGGCGUAUGUAUUUACUCCUGAGAGAGUGAGAUGAAAAUGUGUUUUGACAGGUGUGUCCACUACAGGACGGUUGUUUAUGUGUGUGACUGCUGUGUGAAUGUACGCUUUAUGCAAGAGCGCCCACGAAAAGAAAAAAACUGUCCAUCUUGAGCAGAAUGCAGACCUCAAAAGAUGAAUUCCCCUCAGACACACAGAAGCCUUUAUGUGCGAAAUAUCAAAUAGCUGGACACAGGAACUCUCAGUCAUGCAACAUCUCUGUCUGUGGUUCCUGGAUAGAUGCUGCCCUCUGGUGUACUGGCUGUGGUCAGUAUGAUGGCUGCUGCACAACUAAUAGUUAAGGGAGGGCAAGGGUUGCUUUAAACUGACUUGACUGACGUAAUGUCUGGUUUUACCCUCUCAGAUUUCUGAUAAGCCUUUGCAAUGAAGGUAGAAGGUUUGUAGUGUUCUGAUGCAAAUUGUCCAUAGUAAGGUCUGUGGAUGAUCCAGAGUCAUGGGGACACAGUUUCGUUUAAAUAUCAAUGCUCAAUGCUCUGAGUAGCAUGGUGGUACAGUGGUUAGCAUUGUUGCCUGCCAGCUAGAGGGUUCCUGGUUCGGCGUAGGGAGUUCCUCACAUGGUACUCCGGCUUCCUCCCACAGUCCAAAGACAUGCAUGUUAGGUUAACUGGUGACUCUAAAUUGCCUAUAGGUGUGAAUGUGAGUGUGAAUGGUUGUCUGUCUCUGUGUUAGCAUUGGAUAGUCUGGCAUUCUGUCCAGGGUGUACCCCGCCUCUCGCCCAAUGUCAGCUAGGAUAGGCUCCAGCACCCCUGCGACCAGCACCACUGCCACAGGAUAAGUGGCUAAGGAAAUGAAUGAAUAAUCUGAGCACCACAUGUGAUAUUCAGUGCUACUCAAUAUGAGGUCUCAGAGAUGGAUAUCUGAAAUUGACACAUCAUGCCUAGCUUCCACACAAAAUUUGAUAAGAUUGUAUAUUUUGUUUCUUUUCAUUUUAAAUCUUGCAGGAGUCAGAGUCUGGGUGUGGCAAAUGAGUAAUACGACAGAUAGAGAUCAUUUGUCCCAUUUCCCAUCUUCGACUAGCCGUCUGUCUUUGCAGCUAUAGCUCAAAGCUGAAACUCUGGCUUUUAAACGCCUCAGUGCACCCUCUUCAGAUAGGACAUUUGAGAGCCUUUUCAAGUCAGAAUGACUCUCUGCUAAUGGUGUCACUAAAUCGGAGCCACGCAGGGGCAGGCUGAACUUUUAGCAAACGUUGCUGCAGCUGAGAGCCCACUGGGUGAAUGACUACAGUGAGGUCACCUUGACUAGUAUUGUGCAAAUGGAUACACACAUUCACAAACACACCAACACCAGUCCAGAUACGCUGAGAACUUCAAAUAGUAAAUGUUGUUGUCUCUGAGAAAUGUUGAUGCUGAUGUUUUUGUGAAACUUUACCACUGACGAAUGACAAAGGAGAUACAUAUGUCUACCAAAUAUUUGGCACUCCAAUUUAAAAUCAGUUUACAUAAAUGAUCACAAAACAUGUUUUAACAGACUGAAUGACAAUGUAAUUCCGACUUUUGAAGCCUGUCAAGAUAAGCGCUGUUAGGAACCUGCUUUUGUGUUGUUUUUACUGAAUGGUUUUAUAUUUGUGAUUUACGUGUUCAAACAAAAAAAUGCUAGUAAUUAAUAACUGCUGUAGCCUUUGAAAAAGGAGUCUUUAAAAAGAAAUCAGAAAAAAACAUUUAUACAUGAAAUGAUUUGUGGUUGUUUUCUCUCUGACAAUAACAGACACGAGAUAAUUUCUUUUAUUUAUGUCAUAAUGUGACGAUGGAUUCUCCUUGAUUUACGGUGGCUUAGAUUGUACCUCAUUUAUACAAUGCUUUGGACAAAUGUGCCUGCCAAUGAAUGUAUGUAAAUGACUAACUUUGCAUCCUAAGAUGAAAAAAGGCAAUCUUUAGAACUUGUAGUGUCCACUGUAGGUCCCAGGGGUGUAAUUAUAGACAGUGCAAGCAAUGCCUUUGCAUUGGGGCCCAAGGGUGGGGUCAUGUUAAACUAAAAGUAGUGCUAUUUGCUAUUUAUGCCCUCAAAAAGGCCAAGAAUCAAUCUAUAGCAAAAUGUGCUUCUUCUACAUAAACCAUAAAAACUAAAAAUAGACUACAUAUAUAUUAAACACUACUCAAUUACAUAAAUCCUUUCUUAUUUUCUUUGGUAUUUUUGUAAUAUACAGUUGAUAGAAAGAUGACUGCUGGGUAAUGUAUAUGUUGAUGUUGUCCAAUGUAAAGUCUUUAUUUGACCAUGUAACAAGAUGCUGGGAUAUAUGGUAGCUAGUUUAGACACAACAUCAUAGUAACGUCAUAGUGACAUGCACUUAGGCCCCUCAUGACUACCGUUAGACCACUGGUGGGUACUAUGAGUAGGUAUCACACUAUCACACCUCAACUCAGUUGCCUGAUGAAAAUGUUGACACGUUUCUGUAGACCAUGAAUAUGUUGCAUUUGCAUAUUUCUUACGUGUCAGAUAAAGGCUUCUAAAGUGACUUAGUAGACUUAAUCAUUAGGAGGUAGAUGGCCUAUCACCUAGACGAGACACCUGUCAAGCUGCAGACCACUGCAAAACACUGACAAACAAACAAUAAAACCAGUUGUGAUCUAGUGAGUCAUUGCUGUGUUUCCAGCAGAUUUUUAGGUACCAAAUGUGGGUGUUUUGUGCGACCUGUUGCUAUUUUUCCAACAGGGAUAGUGUCACUAAGUCCAAAUACUUUAAGCCGAAGCAUGAUGCUUUCCGAAUCAUAAGUGGUUUUUGUGCCUAAACUUAACCAACGUUAACCACAGCAUUGUUGGAAUGUAAAGUUUUACCAUAACUGCUUCAUAAUAACUUGUAUGUAAUGUAUCCAUGAUUUGCACUUUCUGUGCUAUUUUCCAGAUCUCUUUGUUUGAUCAUAUAUGCAGCAUGAAUGUAAUUUAGGAAGCUUUAAGUUGUUCUAUAAAGUCAAAAUGAAGCUAUGCUUACCUAGCUGAGCCUCAUUUAAGUUCAAUGUUGAUUUUAUGAACAAUGGGAAAUAAAAACAAUU